GGUUCGAAUCUUUUUCGACACAUUCGCUAUCGUACAGAGUUUGCCUAGUACAUCUUAUCCUUUCAUAUAGUUGGCAUAUUAUUGCACGGGACGAAAUUUAUCUAUCGAAAAAAUUUAAAGAAAAUGUCAGAACACCAUUUUGGUCUAAUUAGAUUCUUAUAUUUAUCAAUCCCUUAUACAUAGUUUCUUUAAGCUCCGUUUCCUAUAGAUUAUGAUAAAUUAAGUUGUAAAAAUCCGAUAGUUGCUCGGAAAAAAAAAAAGACCGCUAUUUAAAAUAAGGAGCAUCUCUUGUAGCGAGGAAAAACGAAAGAGAUAAAAGUUCCCAUCAAAGUAAGAACUUGAACAUGUGGUUUCCCGUUCAAUUGCACGUACUCUGUCGCAUCUCUUGUCGCAAGAGAUAAAAGUUCCAAUCAAAUUAAGAACUUGAAUUGCACGUACGCUGUCGCAUCUCUUGUAGCGAGGAAAAACGAAAGAGAUAAAAGUUCCCAUCAAAGUAAGAACUUGAACAUGUGGUUUCCAGUUCAAUUGCACGUACUCUGUC
rnacentral:lncRNA from 1 species